AUUCGACCUGAGCUCAGGUAAGAGCACCCG
rnacentral:rRNA from 1 species